GGAAGCCUACGGGACGCAGCAGUGGGGAAUAUUGGGCAAUGGGCGCAAGCCUGACCCAGCAACGCCGCGUGAAGGAAGAAGGCUUUCGGGUUGUAAACUUCUUUUCUCAGGGACGAAGCAAGUGACGGUACCUGAGGAAUAAGCCACGGCUAACUACGUGCCAGCAGCCGCGGUAAUACGUAGGUGGCAAGCGUUAUCCGGAUUUACUGGGUGUAAAGGGCGUGUAGGCGGGUAAGCAAGU
rnacentral:rRNA from 1 species